rnacentral:rRNA from 1 species
UGGGGAAUUUUGGACAAUGGGCGCAAGCCUGAUCCAGCCAUGCCGCGUGCGGGAAGAAGGCCUUCGGGUUGUAAACCGCUUUUGUCAGGGAAGAAAUCUUCUGAGUUAAUACCUCGGGAGGAUGACGGUACCUGAAGAAUAAGCACCGGCUAACUACGUGCCAGCAGCCGCGGUAAUACGUAGGGUGCAAGCGUUAAUCGGAAUUACUAGGCGUAAAGCGUGCGCAGGCGGUUUUGUAAGACAGAGGUGAAAUCCCCGGGCUCAACCUGGGAACUGCCUUUGUGACUGCAAGGCUUGAGUGCGGCAGAGGGGGGAUGGAAUUCCGCGUGUAGCAGUGAAAUGCGUAGAUAUGCGGAGGAACACCGAUGGCGAAGGCAAUCCCCUGGGCCUGCACUGACGCUCAUGCACGAAAAGUGUGGGGAGCAAACAGGAUUAGAUACCCUGGUAGUCCACGCCCUAAACGAUGUCAACUGGUUGUUGGGAAGGUUCCUUCUCAGUAACGUAGCUAACGCGUGAAGUUGACCGCCUGGGGAGUACGGCCGCAAGGUUGAAACUCAAAUGAAUUGACGGGGUGCAUAGCUGUUUCCUAG